rnacentral:rRNA from 1 species
UGCCAGCCGCCGCGGUAACACGUAGGUGGCAAGCGUUAUCCGGAAUUACUGGGCGUAAAGGGCACGCAGGCGGUCGGUCAAGUCUGAUGUGAAAGCUCCUGGCUUAACUGGGAGAGGUCGUUAGAAACUGAUCGACUUGAGGCAAUGAGAGGGGUGCGGAAUUCCCGGUGUAGUGGUGGAAUGCGUAGAUAUCGGGAGGAACACCAGUGGCGAAAGCGGCACCCUGGCAUUGACCUGACGCUCAUGUGCGAAAGCGUGGGGAGCGAACGGAAUUAGAUA